UUCCAUUUCAGUAAAUGGUCAUGACGAAUAAGGACAUGAAUCCGAUCACCCUAACAAAAUGAAAAUAAUCUUCUUUUUAUAUGUUAUACAAAAAAGCAUUUUAUUGUAAUUACUAACUAUCAUACAAAAAUCUAUACUUAAAAAAAGAAAAACAAUUUACCAAGGAAUCCAUAACAAUCAUCUCCAAAUGUUCAAUACCCUUAUUAUUCACAACACUCCAAACAUCCAUUAUUCGAACAGCAAGACGCCAAGUUUCUUUUGAGUCAUUGAUGUCUUUCACAGAAUCAACCUUUCUACUCAUUUUCACUGAAA
rnacentral:lncRNA from 1 species